CCUACGGGAGGCAGCAGUGGGGAAUAUUGCACAAUGGGCGAAAGCCUGAUGCAGCAACGCCGCGUGAGUGAAGAAGUAUUUCGGUAUUUAAAGCUCUUUCAGCGGGGAGGAAAAUGACAGUACCUGACUAAGAAGCCCCGGCUAACUACGUGCCAGCAGCCGUGGUAAUACGUAGGGGGCAAGCGUUAUCCGGAUUUACUGGGCGUAAAGGGAGCGUAGACGGCUGCGUAAGUCAGAGGUGAAAGCCCAGGGCUCAACCUCGGGACUGCUUUUGAAACUGUGUAGCUAGAGUGCAGGAGAGGUAAGCGGAAUUCCUAGUGUAGCGGUGAAAUGCGUAGAUAUUAGGCAGAACACCGGUGGCGAAGGCGGCUUACUGGACUGUAACUGACGUUGAGGCACGAAAGCGUGGGGAGCAAACAGGAUUAGAUACCCUAGUAGUC
rnacentral:rRNA from 1 species